rnacentral:rRNA from 1 species
AGUGAACGCUGGCGGUAGGCCUAACACAUGCAAGUCGAACGGCAGCACAGUAAGAGCUUGCUCUUCCGGGUGGCGAGUGGCGGACGGGUGAGGAAUAAAUCGGAAUCUACUUUUUCGUGGGGGAUAACGUAGGGAAACUUACGCUAAUACCGCAUACGACCUACGGGUGAAAGCAGGGGAUCUUCGGACCUUGCGCGAUUGAAUGAGCCGAUGUCGGAUUAGCUAGUUGGCGGGGUAAAGGCCCACCAAGGCGACGAUCCGUAGCUGGUCUGAGAGGAUGAUCAGCCACACUGGAACUGAGACACGGUCCAGACUCCUACGGGAGGCAGCAGUGGGGAAUAUUGGACAAUGGGCGCAAGCCUGAUCCAGCCAUACCGCGUGGGUGAAGAAGGCCUUCGGGUUGUAAAGCCCUUUUGUUGGGAAAGAAAAGCAGCAGGUUAAUACCCCGCUGUUCUGACGGUACCCAAAGAAUAAGCACCGGCUAACUUCGUG